UGAGAGGUCCGGGUUGUACUUGCGUAGCAUAGAUACGUGGAACACAUUAUGAACCCUAGAUAACUCCGGAGGUAGUGCCAAUUUGUAGGCGGUCGUACUAAUCCAGUAUAAGAUCUCACAUGGUCUAAUGAACCGAGAAUUUAAUUUUUUCCACUUAUCAAAUCUACUGAUUCUUUUAAAAUGAGUGACCUUAAGAAACACUAGAUCACCUUUCUUAAAUUCCAAAUCCC
rnacentral:lncRNA from 1 species